UACGGAGGGUGCAAGCGUUAUCCGGAUUCACUGGGUUUAAAGGGUGCGUAGGUGGGUCUGUAAGUCAGUGGUGAAAUCUCCGGGCUUAACCCGGAAACUGCCAUUGAUACUAUAGGUCUUGAAUUUUCUGGAGGUUAGCGGAAUAUGUCAUGUAGCGGUGAAAUGCUUAGAUAUGACAUAGAACACCAAUUGCGAAGGCAGCUAACUGCAGGGAUAUUGACACUGAGGCACGAAAGCGUGGGGAUCAAACAGG
rnacentral:rRNA from 1 species